rnacentral:tRNA from 1 species
GGGGUUGUGGCUCUGUGGUAGAGCACUCUCCUAGCACAUGUGAGGCCCUGGGUUUGAUCCUCAGCACCACA